AGGAAGGGGUCACGUGCUCACGGUCCCUGCUCAGCACCCGCCUGCCUUCGCCCAGCUGGAGUCCAGUAGAGCCGCUCACUGGCUCUCACUCCCCUCCUCCCCACCCUCCGGCUCAAAGACUUUGCAAGGAAACUAACUACGAACUGUUUCUCUUUGGGAGUCCCGACUUCAUCGAUGGACGGAGUUAUUAGAAAAGUUUCCUUUGGUCAUACCAAGGAAUGACCCGGUAGAUAAACUGCACUGUCUAAUGGACCAAGAGUAUGGACAUGGUUGAACUGGAUGAUCUGUUUAACUGAAGCCUUUGGAGCAGAGAGAUGGAAAAGGAGCCAAGUGGCUAGAAGCAAAAGAGAGACUCUCAAAGUGCUGAGGAAGGAGAAGAAACCUUUGUGCAGAUACCAACGGGG